AUUGAACGCUGGCGGCAUGCCUUACACAUGCAAGUCGAACGGCAGCACGGGAGCAGUCCUGGUGGCGAGUGGCGAACGGGUGAGUAAUACAUCGGAACGUGCCCUGUCGUGGGGGAUAACUAGUCGAAAGAUUAGCUAAUACCGCAUACGACCUGAGGGUGAAAGCGGGGGACCGUAAGGCCUCGCGCGAUAGGAGCGGCCGAUGUCUGAUUAGCUAGUUGGUGAGGUAAGAGCUCACCAAGGCGACGAUCAGUAGCUGGUCUGAGAGGACGAUCAGCCACACUGGGACUGAGACACGGCCCAGACUCCUACGGGAGGCAGCAGUGGGGAAUUUUGGACAAUGGGGGCAACCCUGAUCCAGCAAUGCCGCGUGUGUGAAGAAGGCCUUCGGGUUGUAAAGCACUUUUGUCAGGGAAGAAAUCUUUUAGGCUAAUACCCUGGAAGGAUGACGGUACCUGAAGAAUAAGCACCGGCUAACUACGUGCCAGCAGCCGCCGUAA
rnacentral:rRNA from 1 species